rnacentral:rRNA from 1 species
GACAGAGGCCUCAAGCGUUAGGCGGAAUCACUGGGCUUAAAGCGUGUGUAGGCGGAUCGUUAAGUGUCUUGUGAAAUCCCACGGCUCACCCGUGGAACUGCUGGGCAUACUGGCGAUCUUGGGCCAACUAGGGGCAACUGGAACAAGCGGUGGAGCGGUGAAAUGCGUAGAUAUCGCUUGGAACGCCAAAGGUGAAAAACAGGUUGCUGGGGUUGUGCCGAC